rnacentral:lncRNA from 1 species
CUCGUGGCCAGCAAAUUUAUGAUCAAAUUCAUGAUUUGCAAAUGCAGGAGGCACAGCAUGGAGGGUUGCCUGUCCAUUUGCAUAAUUUUAUGUUGUCUCUAUUGCAGCAGUAUCAUCAAGUUUUGUAUUAUUGCCAAGAGAUGCUCUGGCAUCAAAGACACGGACCAUUUGGCUAUAGGAGGGUGAUGCGAACACUAAGUUCUUUCAUCAAUUUGUGGUCUUGCAUCAUGAAAGAAUAAAAUUCAUAGUUUACUUACACUCAAGAGGACUGUGUUACUGAUUAUGUUCCUAUGCAUGCUUUGUUGGUAGAGCACUUUCGACAACGUUGAGAGAUAGAUGCAAAUCUUGGGUACCUUGAUCAUCCCCCAGUUACCUCUGUUAUUACGUCUAUGCAG